UACAGAGGAGCCAAGCGUUGUCCGGAUUGACUGGGCGUAAAGCGCACGCAGGCGGAUGCGCGCGUGGGGUGUGAAAUCUGGCCGCUUAACGGCCAGGCGCCAUCCCAUACGGCGCGUCUGGAGGGCUGCAGAGGUCGAUGGAAUUGCCGGUGUAGUGGUGAAAUGCGUAGAUAUGCGGAGGAACACCGAUGGCGAAGGCAAUCCCCUGGACCUGUACUGACGCUCAUGCACGAAAGCGUGGGGAGCAAACAGG
rnacentral:rRNA from 1 species